AGUGAACGCUGGCGGUAGGCCUAACACAUGCAAGUCGAACGGCAGCACAGUAAGAGCUUGCUCUUACGGGUGGCGAGUGGCGGACGGGUGAGGAAUACAUCGGAAUCUACUUUUUCGUGGGGGUUAACGUAGGGAAACUUACGCUCAUACCGCAUACGACCUACGGGUGAAAGCAGGGGAUCUUCGGACCUUGCGCGAUUGAAUGCGCCGAUGUCGGGUUAGCUAGUUGGCGGGGUAAAGGCCCACUAAGGCGACGAUCCGUAGCUGGACUGAGAGGAUGAUCAGCCACACUGGAAGUGAGACACGGUCCAGACUCCUAAGGGAGGGAGCAGUGGGGAAUAGUGGACAAUGGGCGCAAGCCUGAUCCAGCCAUACCGCGCGGGUGAAGAAGGCCUUCGGGUUGGAAAGACCGUUUGUGGGGAAAGAAAAGCAGCAGGUUAAUACCCCGCUGUUCUGACGGUACCCAAAGAAUAAGCACCGGCUAACUUCGUG
rnacentral:rRNA from 1 species